rnacentral:rRNA from 1 species
GCUAAUACCGGAUAACAACAGAUGAUGCCUAUCAACUGUUUAAAAGAUGGUUCUGCUAUCACUCUUGGAUGGACCUGCGGUGCAUUAGCUAGUUGGUAGGGUAACGGCCUACCAAGGCGAUGAUGCAUAGCCGAGUUGAGAGACUGAUCGGCCACAUUGGGACUGAGACACGGCCCAAAACUCCUACGGGAGGCAGCAGGC